GACGAACGCUGGCGGCGUGUCUAAUACAUGCAAGUCGAGCGAUGAAGAUUGGUGCUUGCACCAAUUUGAAGAGCAGCGAACGGGUGAGUAACGCGUGGGGAAUCUGCCUCUGAGCGGGGGACAACAUCUGGAAACGAAUGCUAAUACCGCAUAACAACUUUAAACAUAAGUUUUAAGUUUGAAAGAUGCAUUUGCAUCACUCAAAGAUGAUCCCGCGUUGUAUUAGUUAGUUGGUGAGGUAAAGGCUCACCAAGGCGAUGAUACAUAGGCGACCUGAGAGGGUGGUCGGCCCCAAUGGGACUGGGACACGGGCCAAGCCUCUACGGGGAGGAGCAGUAGGGGAUCUUCGGCAAAGGGCGGAAGGCUGGACGAAGAACGCCGCGGGGGGGGAGGAAGGUCUCGGGUCGGUAAACUCUGUUGGUAGGGAAGGAAGAUGGUGAGAGUGAAAAGCUCAUCAAGUGACGGUAACUAAACAGAAAGGGACGGCUAACUACGUG
rnacentral:rRNA from 1 species